rnacentral:lncRNA from 1 species
AUCUACGGGAGCUUGGGUUUCGUCAUCAUCAUCAUCCUCAUUUCCCUCUAUUAUAGGUGCAUUAGGAUAAAGCAUAUUCAUAAUAUCAUCGUUUAUUCUAUCACCUACUGCUACAUCAUGUAGAAAAUCAACAUCGCCAAAUUGAAAACAUGGGUGAUUACUAUCAAGUAUUCCAAAAUUUUCAUUAGUAUUUCUAGGUUGGCUACUAGUUUCAACUUGUUUAUCUUUUCUAGGUCGGGGAGCCGGGGGAGGGGUAGGAUUUUGGCGACUACUUUNNNNN